rnacentral:rRNA from 1 species
CUUGUAAAUCUCCUUUGGAGAAUUGUAGUCUAUAGAAGCGUCCUCUGAAGCAGCCGGAGCUCAAAUCUUCUGGAAAGGAGUGUCAUAGAGGGUGAGAACCCCGUCGGUUCCAGGCCAGCUUCUCCACGAGGUGCUUUCGAAGAGUCGUGUUGCUUGGGAAUGCAGCACUAAUUGGGUGGUAAAUCCCAUCUAAGGCUAAAUACUGGCGAGAGACCGAUAGCGAACAAGUACCGUGAGGGAAAGAUGAAAAGAACUUUGAAAAGAGAGUUAAAAAGUGCUUGAAAUUGUUGAGGGGGAAGCGUUUGAAUGCUCCGGGUGCGCCUAGGCUUAUGGGUCUCUAACGAGCCUCUGUAUGUGCUAGGUGCUGGUCAGCAAGGGUUAGGCCCGCAGGAAAAAAAUCGGGGUUGUUACCCGGUCUAUACUGCAGGCUUGACCAAGGUGUGAAGAGCGCCCUUGUCCUUCGGGAACUGCGUUCUCAAGUUGCUGGCAGAAAGUAUUCAACCGACCCGUCUUGAAACACGGACCAAGGAGUCUAACAUGUAUGCGAGUUGGUGGGUGGAAAACCCAUGAAGCGCAGUAACCUGACUGGUGGGAUGGCCUGUGCCUGCACCAUCGACCGACCAUGAUCUUCUGUGAAAGGUUUGAGUACGAGCAUACCUGUUGGGACCCGAAAGAUGGUGAACUAUG